AUGGUAUAUAGUAUGGUACUAAAGAUAUUUUUUUGGCUGAAUGGUCGCGGUCACUCUGACAUAUGUUUAUUUAUAUAUUUUUUUGAGCAAAUGACUGCACUACAAAAAGUCAAAUGGCUAGCCAAGAUGCCGAACUGGGCAAGUUAGCGUCCACCCCAUCGCUGGGAAACUUUUAUCGAGGACAGAAGAAGGACUUCCUGGCGCUGAUGCAAAACUAGAGGAGGCAUCCGAGUACAGCGUGAUCGGUCAUUUAUUGCUAAGUCCUGGAAUUAUUUUUAUAAUUGAUCUGAAAUAUAUAAAAAACAAGGAAGAACGCUGUAGUGGAGUACCUCGACUAUCAGAUACCCGUUACUCAGCUAAAGGGACCAAAGGAGUAUAUACUAUAUAGUCGGGUAAUUUUCGCUUAAGAAAGGGUAUAGGUGCAGGGGCGCGCCAACAGCGAAGAGAAAACAAAAGAAAUCAAGUAAAGGGCUGAGGAGAAGACAUUUAAAUUGUGCGCAGCAGAUUUACUUUUUUCGUUUCUAAAAGUGAAAAUCAUAAGGUCAGGUGUUUUAUGGGUUCCGUUAGCCAAAAGUGAAUGAUGAAAUGUCUUGUGCCAAUAAAAAUCCCGCGAAGGGUUAUAAACAGCUCUAAAAGGAGCGUUGGUUAAUAAUUCGAAGGAAGCGGACAAAUGAAUAUAGCGAUGUCCAACGUCAAAAAAAAUUAACAAAACAGAUAAAUAAGCUUACUUACAAUAAUUGUCCCUUAACGGAAAACUUUAAUAACACAAUAUAAU